rnacentral:rRNA from 1 species
AGAUUGAACGCUGGCGGCAUGCCUUACACAUGCAAGUCGAACGGCAGCACGGGAGCAAUCCUGGUGGCGAGUGGCGAACGGGUGAGUAAUACAUCGGAACGUGCCCAAUCGUGGGGGAUAACGCAGCGAAAGCUGUGCUAAUACCGCAUAAGAUCUACGGAUGAAAGCAGGGGAUCGCAAGACCUUGCGCGAAUGGAGCGGCCGAUGGCAGAUUAGGUAGUUGGUGAGGUAAAGGCUCACCAAGCCUUCGAUCUGUAGCUGGUCUGAGAGGACGACCAGCCACACUGGGACUGAGACACGGCCCAGACUCCUACGGGAGCAGCAGUGGGAAUUUGGACAAUGGGCGAAAGCCUGAUCCGAGCCAUGCCGCGUGCAGGAUGAAGGCCGUUCGGUUGUAAACGUUGCGUUUUUGUAACGGAACGUAAAGUCUUAC